rnacentral:rRNA from 1 species
AAGUUUGAUCAUGGCUCAGGAUGAACGCUGGCGGCGUGCUUAACACAUGCAAGUCGAACGGUGAAGCCCAGCUUGCUGGGUGGAUCAGUGGCGAACGGGUGAGUAACACGUGAGCAAUCUGCCCCUGACUCUGGGAUAAGCGCUGGAAACGGCGUCUAAUACUGGAUAUGAACCGUGGAGGCAUCUUCAACGGUUGGAAAGAUUUUUGGUCAGGGAUGAGCUCGCGGCCUAUCAGCUUGUUGGUGAGGUAAUGGCUCACCAAGGCGUCGACGGGUAGCCGGCCUGAGAGGGUGACCGGCCACACUGGGACUGAGACACGGCCCAGACUCCUACGGGAGGCAGCAGUGGGGAAUAUUGCACAAUGGGCGCAAGCCUGAUGCAGCAACGCCGCGUGAGGGAUGACGGCCUUCGGGUUGUAAACCUCUUUUAGCAGGGAAGAAGCGAAAGUGACGGUACCUGCAGAAAAAGCGCCGGCUAACUACGUG